rnacentral:sRNA from 1 species
UCCCGGUCGGCGCGCGACGGAAGGUCGU